AUUAUGGCGUUUGUGAGGGCUGUGUGGCAGGAGGGCGAUAAAGUUUUUGAAGGGGUGCUGCCAAUAAAUUGGAUUGACGAAGAAAGGAAAGUCCUCAGAUGGCCAAAAAAGGGACGGGCGUCGGCCUGGAAAAACAAAACGAAUCCAGCUGGAGACUGGCUGGACUUUCCCCUCAUAAAAAUAUGUGAUGCUUAAGGCGAGACACGGCAGGUGAAAACAUCGAUUUUUCAUGACCUGGUCAAAUUUGAGAUUUUGGGCUAGUUUACAUCCAUGUAAUUUUUUACACUGCUAUAAAGAAAAUUUCCAAAUAACACAUGUCGGUUGGUUUACAUGACUUUGCAACUUCUGACUUUUUUACAGAAAGUGAAAAGGAGUGCACCGAGUUUAAUUAUACAUCGUCAGCACAGACAGAUUCAGAAGACCCUCCAGAACUGGGGAAAAGGGCAAUAAAAAGAAAGCAAUUUUCUGAUUGUAUUGAAGAACCAGAACUAUCAGAUGAAGAACCCAGACCCAAAAAAUCGCCAGGGUUGUUUAAUGUAAAAAGUCUUAAAUAUGUCUUUGCCAAACAAAUACUGUUUGCGACAUGAAUACUUUUUCUGUUUCUAUGUAGGCAAAAGCACAGGACUGCUCAGCAAGCCACCAAAGCCACCAAAUAUGACUAAUGAGACACCCAGUGUCAGAAACCAGGACCAGACCUCUUUGGAUAAUACUCCAACUCUAGAUUCAUCAUAUACCCACCCCCAGAGGAGCCCCUCCCCCUCCAAUCAUUCUGAUGUUGGGGGUGAGUCCUGGCAGGAUAGCUCACCUUCAUCUCCAAGGAACCAGUCCAUAAGGAGCCCCUCUCCCUCAUCCAGGAGCCCCUCUCCCUCAUCCAGUCAUUCUGGGAACCACAGAGGAGGCUCCCAUUCUGGUGGUCCUCCUAGAGCCUCAAACAGCCAGUCCAUAAGGACCCCCUCUCCCUCAUCCAGUCAUUCCGGGAACCACAGAGGAGGCUCUCGUCCUGGUGGUUCUUCUCGAGCCUCAAACGGCCAGUCCAUAAGGACCCCCUCUCUCUCAUCCAGUCAUUCCAGGAACCACAGAGGAGGCUCCCAUUCUGGUGGUUCUUCUCGAAGUUCAAACGGUAAGUUGACCUAA
rnacentral:lncRNA from 1 species